GAUGAACGCUGGCGGCGUGCCUAAUACAUGCAAGUCGAGCGAACAGACGAGGAGCUUGCUCCUCUCUCGUUAGCGGCGCACGGGCGAGUAACACGUGGAUAACCUACCUAUACGACUGGGAUAACUUCGGGAAACCGGCGCUAAUACCGGAUAAUAUAUUGAACCGCUUGGUUCAAUAGUGAAAGACGGUUUUGCUGUCCCUUAUCGAUGGAUCCGCGCCGCAUUAGCUAGUUGGUAAGGUAACGGCUUACCAAGGCAACGAUGCGUAGCCGACCUGGGAGGGUGAUAGGCCCCACGGGAAGGUGGACACGGUCCAGACUCCUGCGGGAGGGAGCAGUAGGGAAUCGUCCGCAAUGGGCGAAGACCUGACGGAGCAACGCCGCGUGAGGGAUGAAGGUGUUCGGAUCGUAAAACUCUGUUAUUAGGGAAGAACCAAUUUGUCAUUAACUAUGCCCGUGUUGACGGUACCUAAUCAAAAAGCCACGGCUAACUACGUG
rnacentral:rRNA from 1 species